UCUCGCAAGAAGAUUGGGUGUCAAAGCCUCAAAAUCCUGCAAUAUGCACAUGCCAAAAGUGUUCCCUAGAAUUCUUUCUGAAUCUCUAUACAAGCAAUAGCUAACGCCUCCAGUUGUAACAAAGAGAUCAAAUGGAUCUGCUUUUUCAGUGUCCAGUACCCCCUGCAGUAUCAUUUUUUUCAUUUGCUUCUGUCUCUUUUUCUUGUGACUGCUAAG
rnacentral:misc_RNA from 1 species